rnacentral:tRNA from 1 species
AGGCUUUAAGUUAAUAAAACUAAUAGCCUUCAAAGCUGUAAAUAAAGGGUGUUCCUUUAAGUCUUA